UCCAUGAUGGCCGAGACAUCAGGCAUCGAGCUUUUAACUCGAUUACAGUUACUUAUACUUCAGGAU
rnacentral:tRNA from 1 species